CAUGGAGACAUAGAAAAUUGUUGCAGGAGUAGGACAAUUGGUCCUUCGAACCAGCACCGCCAUUCAAUAUGAUCAUGGCUGAUCACCCAGAAUCAGUACCCUGUUCCUUGUUUUGAGUGACGUG